CCUACGGGAGGCAGCAGUGAGGAAUAUUUGUCAAUGGGCGCGAGCCUGAACCAGCCAAGUCGCGUGAAGGAUGACUGCCCUACGGGUUGUAAACUUCUGUUAUGAAGGAAUAAAGUGAGGCACGUGUGCCUUUUUGUGUGUACUUUGUGAAUAAGGAUCGGCUAACUCCGUGCCAGCAGCCGCGGUAAUACGGAGGAUCCAUGCGUUGUCCGGAUUUGUUGGGUGUAAAGGGAGCGUAGAUGGGUUGUUAAGUCAGUUGUGAAAGUUUGAGGCUCAACCGUCAAAUUGCAAUUGAUACUGGCAGACUUGAGUAAAGGAGAGGUAGGCGGAAUUCGCGGUGUAGCGGUGAAAUACGUAGAUAUCACGAAGAACUCCGAUGGCGAAGGCAGCUUACUAAACUGCAACUGACACUGAGGCUCGAAAGUGAGGGUAUCAAAAAGGAUUAGAUACCCGAGUAGUC
rnacentral:rRNA from 1 species